GGGGAAUAUUGCACAAUGGGGGAAACCCUGAUGCAGCGACGCCGCGUGGAGGAAGAAGGUCUUCGGAUUGUAAACUCCUGUUGUUGGGGAAGAUAAUGACGGUACCCAACAAGGAAGUGACGGCUAACUACGUGCCAGCAGCCGCGGUAAAACGUAGGUCACAAGCGUUGUCCGGAAUUACUGGGUGUAAAGGGAGCGCAGGCGGGAAGACAAGUUGGAAGUGAAAUCUAUGGGCUCAACCCAUAAACUGCUUUCAAAACUGUUUUUCUUGAGUAGUGCAGAGGUAGGCGGAAUUCCCGGUGUAGCGGUGGAAUGCGUAGAUAUCGGGAGGAACACCAGUGGCGAAGGCGGCCUACUGGGCACCAACUGACGCUGAGGCUCGAAAGUGUGGGUAGCAAACAGGAUUAGAUACCCUGGUAGUCCACACCGUAAACGAUGAUUACUAGGUGUUGGAGGAUUGACCCCUUCAGUGCCGCAGUUAACACAAUAAGUAAUCCACCUGGGGAGUACGACCGCAAGGUUGAAACUCAAAGGAAUUGACGGGGGCCCGCACAAGCAGUGGAGUAUGUGGUUUAAUUCGACGCAACGCGAAGAACCUUACCAAGUCUUGACAUCCCUUGACGAUGCUGGAAACAGUAUUUCUCUUCGGAGCAAGGAGACAGGUGGUGCAUGGUUGUCGUCAGCUCGUGUCGUGAGAUGUUGGGUUAAGUCCCGCAACGAGCGCAACCCUUAUGGUCAGUUACUACGCAAGAGGACUCUGGCCAGACUGCCGUUGACAAAACGGAGGAAGGUGGGGAUGACGUCAAAUCAUCAUGCCCUUUAUGACUUGGGCUACACACGUACUACAAUGGCGUUAAACAAAGAGAAGCAAGACCGCGAGGUGGAGCAAAACUCAGAAACAACGUCCCAGUUCGGACUGCAGGCUGCAACUCGCCUGCACGAAGUCGGAAUUGCUAGUAAUCGUGGAUCAGCAUGCCACGGUGAAUACGUUCCCG
rnacentral:rRNA from 2 species